rnacentral:rRNA from 1 species
AGUGAACGCUGGCGGUAGGCCUAACACAUGCAAGUCGAACGGCAGCACAGUAAGAGCUUGCUCUUACGGGUGGCGAGUGGCGGACGGGUGAGGAAUACAUCGGAAUCUACUUUUUCGUGGGGGAUAACGUAGGGAAACUUAAGCUAAUACCGCAUACGACCUACGGGUGAAAGCAGGGGAUCUUCGGACCUUGCGCGAUUGAAUGAGCCGAUGUCGGAUUAGCUAGUUGGCGGGGUAAAGGCCCACCAAGGCGACGAUCCGUAGCUGGUCUGAGAGGAUGAUCACCCACACUGGAACUGAGACACGGUCCAGACUCCUACGGGAGGCAGCAGUGGGGAAUAUUGGACAAUGGGCGCAAGCCUGAUCCAGCCAUACCGCGUGGGUGAAGAAGGCCUUCGGGUUGUAAAGCCCUUUUGUUGGGAAAGAAAAGCAGCAGGUUAAUACCCCGCUGUUCUGACGGUACCCAAAGAAUAAGCACCGGCUAACUUCGUG